UUAAAUUGAAGAGUUUGAUCAUGGCUCAGAUUGAACGCUGGCGGCAGGCCUAACACAUGCAAGUCGAACGGUAACAGGAAUCAGCUUGCUGAUUUGCUGACGAGUGGCGGACGGGUGAGUAAUGUCUGGGAAACUGCCUGAUGGAGGG
rnacentral:rRNA from 1 species